CCUACGGGAGGCAGCAGUAGGGAAUCUUCCACAAUGGGCGAAAGCCUGAUGGAGCAACGCCGCGUGGGUGAAGAAGGUCUUCGGAUCGUAAAUCCCUGUCGGCAGAGAAGAAAGUGCGUGAGAGUAACUGUUCACGCUUCGACGGUAUCUAACCAGAAAGCCACGGCUAACUACGUGCCAGCAGCCGCGGUAAUACGGAGGUGGCAAGCGUUAUCCGGAUUUACUGGGCGUAAAGGGAACGCAGGCGGUCUGUUAAGUCUGAUGUGAAAGCCUUCGGCUUAACCGGGGUAGUGCAUUGGAGACUGGGAGGCUUGAGUGCAGAAGAGGAGAGUAGAACUCCAGGUGUAGCGGUGAAAUGCGUAGAGAUAUGGAGGAACACCAGUGGCGAAGGCGGCUCUCUGGUCUGUAACUGACGCUGAGGUUCGAAAGCGUGGGUAGCAAACAGGAUUAGAUACCCCAGUAGUC
rnacentral:rRNA from 1 species